rnacentral:rRNA from 1 species
UACGUAGGGGGCAAGCGUUGUUCGGAUUCAUUGGGCGUAAAGGGCGCGUAGGCGGCGGGGUAAGUCUGGUGUGAAAUCUCGGAGCUCAACUCCGAAAUUGCACUGGAUACUGCUCUGCUAGAGGGCUGGAGAGGAGAUCGGAAUUCACGGUGUAGCAGUGAAAUGCGUAGAUAUCGUGAGGAAGACCAGUGGCGAAGGCGGAUCUCUGGACAGCUCCUGACGCUGAGGCGCGAAGGCUAGGGGAGCAAACGGG